AGCAGAGCAGCGGCAGGACUGACCGGUAGUUGCGCAGCGCCUGCGUCGCGGAGCGCCUACUUGUACUACAUAAAAACCCCUCUCUGCCUCCGAGUCUUCAUUUGCAAUAGUACAAUACUCCGUCCCCAGACACGCAAGACCGUUCGGGGUUUCGCACGGUCAAACAAGAAGGCGCCGCCCCCGGAAAAUCUCCCACCACUCCCCGGCUGAGCGAGCGAGCGACCGGCGGCGGAGCAUGGAGGCCAGGUACGCGGAGCUGCGACGCGCGGUGGAGGAGACGCCGGCGGUGGACGCGCACGCGCACAACCUCGUCGACACGGCCUCCUCCCUCCCCUUCCUCCGCUGCUUCUCCGAGGCCGACGGCGACGCGCUCGCCUUCGCUCCCCACUCCCUCUCCUUCAAGAGAAGCAUCAAGGACAUCGCCGCAUUGUACGGCUGUGAAGCCUCGCUUGACAAGGUGGAAGAGUUCAGAAAGGCCCAAGGGUUGUCGUCUAUCAGCUCAAAAUGCUUCCAAGCUGCCAAUAUAUCCGCGAUCCUUGUGGACGAUGGCCUAGCAUUUGAUAAAAUGCUUGAGCUGGAAGCCCACAAGGAAUUUGUUCCCACAGUCGGCAGAGUUCUGAGAAUCGAAUGGCUGGCGGAGACGAUUAUUAACGACGAUUCAUUCAGUGGAUCAAGCUGGACGUUGGACUCAUUCACUGAAACUUUUGUGGCUAAGCUCAAAUCAGUUGCCAGCAAAAUUGUUGGGUUGAAAAGCAUUGCUGCAUACAGAAGUGGCUUAGAGAUUGAUCCAUGUGUUAGCAAGACAGAUGCAGAGGAUGGUCUUCGUAAGGAGCUAACAGGGCAAAGACCUCUUCGGAUUACAAAUAAGAGCCUCAUCGACUAUCUAUUUACUCGUAGUCUCGAUAUUGCUGUGCAGUGUCACUUACCAAUGCAGAUUCACACAGGCUUUGGAGAUAAAGACCUGGACUUGCGGAAGUGCAAUCCUCUACAUCUCCGUGCUGUUCUUGAGGAUGAAAGAUUCACCAAGUGUCAGUUAGUCCUUUUACAUGCUUCUUAUCCAUAUUCUAAGGAAGCAUCCUAUCUUGCAUCUGUUUACUCCCAGGUCUAUCUUGAUUUUGGUUUGGCAAUUCCAAAACUAAGUGUUCAAGGAAUGGUCUCAUCACUUAAAGAGCUUCUGGAGCUAGCUCCCAUAAACAAGGUCAUGUUUAGUUCAGAUGGAUAUGCUUUUCCGGAGACAUACUAUCUAGGAUCCAGGAGGGCACGUGAUGUUGUUUACCGUGUCCUAUCAGCUGCAUCUGAAGAUGGUGAUCUUAGCAUUCAGGAAGCUAUAGAUGCAGUUGAGGACAUCUUUAGAAGAAAUGCAUCGGAUCUGUACAAGUUGAACGUUGCCAAUGGGUCAAUUCACCAGAAAACGAUAGCUGACAAUAGGAUAGCAUCAUCUUGUGUUGAGCAAGAUGUGCUUUUUGUUCGCAUCGUCUGGAAUGAUGCUUCAGGCCAACAUAGAUGCCGCGUUGUCCCAGCCGGAAGGUUUUAUGAGAUUGCAAGGAAUAAGGGUGUCGGCCUGACUUUUGCAUCAAUGGGAAUGACUUCCUUCUGUGACGGCCCAGCUGAUGGAACAAACCUUACUGGUGUAGGCGAGAUCAGGCUUAUGCCAGAUAUGUCAACACUUUUGAGACUCCCAUGGUCAACACGUGAGGAAAUGGUGAUAGCUGACAUGCAAAUUAGGCCUGGAGAAGCCUGGGAAUACUGUCCUAGAUAUGCCUUAAGGAAAGUCACAAAAGUUCUGCUGGAUGAAUUCAAUGUGACAAUGAAGGCAGGUUUUGAGAAUGAAUUUUAUCUCCGCAGAAAAUUAGUAAGUGAGGGACAUGAGCGUUGGGUUCCAUAUGAUAAUAGCAGUUACUGCUCAACCUCAUCAUUUGAUGGUGCCUCAUCUAUACUACAAGAAGUGUAUUCUUCUCUUAAAGUGGCAAAUAUUGUUGUUGAGCAGCUGCAUGCCGAAGCUGGAAAAGGGCAGUUCGAGGUUGCCUUGAAGUAUGUCCUGUGCACUCUUGCUGCUGACAAUUUGAUAUAUGCUCGUGAGAUUAUUAAAUCUGUUGCUCGAAAGCAUGGGUUGAUAGCAACGUUUCUUCCAAAACCUGACCUGAAUGAUAUUGGAUCGGGCUCCCAUGUGCAUCUGAGUUUAUGGAAGAAUGAUCAGAAUGUUUUUAUGGGAUCAAAUGAAUACAGCCACUAUGGAAUGUCAAACGUUGGAGAACAGUUCCUUGCUGGAGUAUACCAUCAUCUUCCAUCAAUCUUGGCAUUUACUGCUCCUCACCCUAACAGCUACGAUCGAAUUCAGCCAAAUACAUGGAGUGGAGCUUACCUAUGCUGGGGGAAAGAAAACCGGGAGGCUCCAUUGAGAACCGCAUGCCCACCUGGUGUGCCUCUCGACAUGGUCAGCAACUUCGAAAUUAAAUCAUUUGAUGGGUGCGCAAAUCCACACUUGGGGCUUGCUGCUAUUGUCGCUGCUGGGAUUGAUGGACUUAGGAAAGGCCUUAAGUUGCCUGAACCAAUUGAAUCAAAUCCUGCAGAUUAUGCUACCAAACUUAAAAGGCUACCACAGGACCUUCUGGAAUCUGUAGAAUCACUUGCUGCAGACAAAACUUUGCAUGAGCUAAUCGGCGAUAAGCUUAUUACAGCCAUUAUCGCUGUGCGCAAGGCUGAGAUUGAUCACUACUCGAAGAACCCUGGGGCAUUUGGCGAUCUCAUUCACCGUUACUAAGACAGAAUACUUGUCUCAAGACCACUUUCUCGUUAAGCCGACAAAUAAUGUUGCCCAUGAAUUACUGAUUCUCAUCACUGGAUUUGCAGUCGUUGGUGUUUUUUUAAUUAAUAAUAAAGUGCUUUUAGAAUAUGAAAUCUGUCAUUGGACAUUCUUUUUUUCUGACAAAAAAUCCAACGGAAAAGGUAGCACUUGAUGCCUUUGGCACUUGAACCAAAAAAUCACAUAUGUUACAACCGCUUAAAUAUAGGCUGUGCCUCCACAGCAGCAUAAGUGGAACAAAGAUGCCGAGCAAAAAUCCAACAUCAAUUUGCGGUUAGGGUUCAGUUUAGUCAAGUAAUGCUUCCAAUUUCUUUCACUGUCAAGUGAACUCCUGGCUCGAAAACAUUGAUCUAUAACCCCUGGGCUCUUCGGCACCUGUGGCUGAAUCCUGAAAAACUAACGCUCCAUGGACAUAUCUUUGUUUGCUGGGAAAUCUGGAAAAUGCACGAAGGAAACGAUGGCCUCUUUACUUCCCCUGGCCCUUCGGCUUGCAUCAUCCAGGAGUGUCCUGUUCAUCAAGGGCCUACCCUCCAGGGUAAUCUUUUGUUUGCUGGAAUUAUCAAAAGAGCAGAAUGCGCACAUCUUGACAACAAACCUUCAGUGCCGUCCAUGCAACAGUCGCUAACAUCAAGAAUCAAGAAAGUAGGGAAGGUCUGUCUCAUCCCCGGGACAAAGCAAUUUGCGCAAAUUAUGCCUUAUUAGACAUGAAGAAUAGACAUUGUGUUCCCUUUGUACAAACCAAUUUUAACCACUCUCCAUAACCUUACAAACUAACCCCUCCGUCCCAUAAUAUAAUAGCGUUUCCGACACUAGGUCCCAUAAUAUUAUGGGACGGAGGGAGUACUGUACUUACUUUCCCCAAUUUCCCCACCUUUUCUACUCACAGGUUGUUUAGACACAACUCAUGUACAACGAGAACCUACAGUUUGGGUAUCACGAACUUGCCUGCGAUACGAUGACCAUAGAUAGCGAGCUCAAUCAUACGUCACAGAUCUAUUGACAGCAUCUACCACCAUACUUUGCAUGACUUUCCUGUUGCUUUUUCAGAAUGUUCCUCUUGACAACCGAUGACGAGCCUUCCUCCAGGAGACUUGGAACCUCAAGGAU
rnacentral:rRNA from 1 species